GUAAAUAGUCAUUUUAAGGGGGACUGUUGUGGACAGAAUAUUAGCUAAAUUAAAAUGCCUAUUUACUCCAUUUAUUUAUAAUCAGUAUUAUUCAAUAAAUUACUAAAAUGACCACUAGAUGUCACUCAGGAGUACCCCUCCCAUCGACUAAAGACUCAUUUUCAAGAUGGCGCUGGAAUCCGGGGGAGAACUUCAUGACGACAGUAAUGACAAAAGAUGGCACACCCAGUAGGACGUGCUUUGAAUAAAACACAACCAAUUAUUGAUGUAAUCUUCUCUGUUAUCUGUAAUUAUGCAUAUGAUGUAUUAGUGCUUUAUAAGGGGGUCCAACCCCCCAAAAUAAACAUUCC